ACGGGAUUUUCCGCUGCUUUACAAAACAAAUACCUGGGGCCUGUAAAUUCCAGUGUGGCUUAGCUGACUGGAUCCAAGCUCUAUUAUAGCACUUUUAAUGUUGGGAUAACUACUGAUCACAUAAACACACAGAGACAUAGGAAUGUGCUUUAGGCAGCAGAAAGUGCAGUCAGCUGCUGUUGACUAACGGUGUGGAAUUCAAGAGGGAACAGAGACACAGGCUCGCAACUGAACACAAACAGGACAGAAACAGACUGCAGAAUGUAUUGUUCAGGUACGUUUAGCCUCCAGGCAUUCAGAAGAAGAAAGGAAGUCCAACCGCCUCGCCUGGUUUCCAGCAGUUCCAGGUGUCUCUGUUUAAACUGUGCCUUUGCUGUUGAAAGGACUGCGACAGAAGGGAGUCUUUGUCUUGAACCUCAUACAAUGGAGGCGAGAAAGAGCAUUGAAACUCGACCACAUUGUUAAUUAGCUUCUCGAAAUAAAAACGUUGCCUAAGUGAAACACGAACGUCUGUGCUUCUGUUUUACAU